GAUGAACGCUAGCGGCAAGCUUAAUACAUGCAAGUCGAGGGGCAGCAUGACUGUAGCAAUACAGUUGAUGGCGACCGGCAAACGGGUGCGGAACACGUACAGAACCUUCCUUCGAGCGGGGAAUAGCCCAGAGAAAUUUGGAUUAAUACCCCAUAGUAUUACGGAGUGGCAUCACUUUGUAAUUAAAGAUUUAUCACUUGAAGAUGGCUGUGCGGCUGAUUAGAUAGUUGGCAGGGUAACGGCCUACCAAGUCUACGAUCAGUAACUGGUGUGAGAGCACGACCAGUCACACGGGCACUGAGACACGGGCCCGACUCCUACGGGAGGCAGCAGUAAGGAAUAUUGGUCAAUGGACGAAAGUCUGAACCAGCUAUGCCGCGUGGAGGAUGAAGGCCCUCUGGGUUGUAAACUUCUUUUAUAUGGGACGAAAAAGGGCCUUUCUAGGUCAACUGACGGUACCAUGUGAAUAAGCACCGGCUAACUCCGUGCCAGCCGCCGCGGUAAGAC
rnacentral:rRNA from 1 species